GACGAACGCUGGCGGCGCGCCUAACACAUGCAAGUCGAACGAGCGAGAGAGAGCUUGCUUUCUUGAGCGAGUGGCGAACGGGUGAGUAACGCGUGAGGAACCUGCCUCAAAGAGGGGGACAACAGUUGGAAACGACUGCUAAUACCGCAUAAGCCCACGGUGCCGCAUGGCACAGAGGGAAAAGGAGCAAUCCGCUUUGAGAUGGCCUCGCGUCCGAUUAGCUAGUUGGUGAGGUAACGGCCCACCAAGGCGACGAUCGGUAGCCGGACUGAGAGGUUGAACCGCCACAUUUGGACUGAGACACGGUCCAGACUCCUACGGGAGGCAGCAGUGGGGAAUAUUGCACAAUGGGGGAAACCCUGAUGCAGCGACGCCGCGUGGAGGAAGAAGGUCUUCGGAUUGUAAACUCCUGUUGUUGGGGAAGAUAAUGACGGUACCCAACAAGGAAGUGACGGCUAACUACGUG
rnacentral:rRNA from 1 species